CCAAAUGGGCUCUUUUUAGGAACCAUUCUCCUUGUCCUCUAUGAUCCUUUAAUACUCCGUAACCCUAAUCCCACCUAGGUAUACCUUCCUAGAUACAGGAGACGGACAGAUUGAAGGAGGUUGCAGCCAAAUUUCUGCCUCAACAGAGCUGGCAGUUGAGGCCAACAUCUGGCAGUAAUGGAAGAGAAAGAAGACUGAUAUGGUCAGUCAUGAGGGAUAUCAUCAUAUUACUUUCAUAAAGUAAUAUUCUAUUUUGGAAAAUUCCAAACAUACAAAGUACGAUAUUCUGAACCUUAUAGGAAAACCUUAAAAUGUUGACAUCUCAAGCUUUGUUUCUUGAAUAAAAUGUUAUUUUCAUCAACCUCAAAUCAGAUCAUUGAGAAAAGACUCCACGUUUUUA
rnacentral:lncRNA from 1 species